GAUGGUGCCAUCUUUAUAUACUGCCUGGUAGGAUGGUGUUCUAAUAAACUUCAUGGUGGGAUGGUGUUCAUAGGAACACAUCUCACCAGGGAUCUCCUACCAGUGAUGUCACCUCUAUGAGCUGCCUGGUGGGAUAGUUUUCCCAAGACCUGCCUGGUGGGAUGGUGUUUUCCCUAUGUUCUGCCUGGUAGGAUGGCGUUCCUAUUAGCUGCCUGGUAGGGUGGUAUUCCAAUGAGAUGCCUGGUGGGAUGGUGUUCUUAUCAGCUGCCUGGUGGGAUGGCAUUCCUGUUAAUGCUUGGUGGGGUGGUGUCAUCCCUAUGAGCUGCCUUUUGAAAUGGUGUCACCUCUAUGAGCUGCCUGGUGGGAUGGCGUUCCUACGAGUUGCCUGGUGGGAUGGUGUCAUCCAUAUUUGCUACCUGGGAGGAUGAUGUAAUCGUAUGUACAUAGUAGGAUGGCAUCCCCAUGAGCUGCCUAGUGCAAUUGUGUUCUUCUGAGCUGCCUGUUUGGAUAAAAACAAUAUACAGCUUACAAAUGCAGCCAAUAAAAAAUGUCAGUCUUUUAGAUAAUUUCUUGCCGACCCCUUCACAGAACCCAGAAGCAAGGCACCACGAGGGAGUCUGGCAGUGAGUAAGCAGAACUACUACUCGCAACCCCAUAUGGACUUUUUAUUGGACUGAAUGCGCAAAACCCUGUCAGGGUAAAUGUGAGUGUAAUUUUUAAUUGAUUUUAAGUUGUUUUUAAUAAAACGGUAUUACACUAUCACUGGUUUUUAUCUCUGGCAUUGGAACCUGGAAGGAAUAUCGUGACCCAAAGGAGGGACUAGAAAAGAGCUUUCUGUUACAUGCAUAACACCACUGCUGUGGUUUGUAAGUAGGCAUUUUUAUAGAAGGUGGAAGCACUCCUGGAGUAUAUUUAACUCUUCGCAGGGAAGCCAUCAUCUUCCUAUCACCUCUAUUGUUACCCUAUCACCCCCCCCCCCCACUAACAGCUAUCUAAGGGAAAAAGGGGAGAAAACACGGACUUAAUACUAAGUGCAUGCACAGGGUGAUAUUACCUAUUUGGAACAUAUUACGCUAUGCUUGUUUUUAAUUUCUGUUGCCACAGGCGCUGAUCUCUUCUCUUAUAUAUAUCCCUCUGGGAACAUAUAUACGCC